rnacentral:tRNA from 1 species
UCCCUGGUGGCUCAGAGGGUAAAGCAUCUGCCUGCAAUGCAGGAGACCUGGGUUCAAUACCUGGGUCGGGAA